AGCGAACGCUGGCGGCAGGCCUAAUACAUGCAAGUCGAGCGCACCUUCGGGUGAGCGGCGGACGGGUGAGUAAUGCGUGGGAACGUGCCCUGUGGUACGGGAUAACUGAGGGAAACUUCAGCUAAUACCGUAUGUGACCUACGGGGGAAAGAUUUAUCGCCAUUGGAGCGGCCCGCGUUGGAUUAGGUAGUUGGUGAGGUAAAGGCUCACCAAGCCUACGAUCCAUAGCUGGUCUGAGAGGAUGAUCAGCCACACUGGGACUGAGACACGGCCCAGACUCCUACGGGAGGCAGCAGUAGGGAAUCUUGCGCAAUGGGCGAAAGCCUGACGCAGCCAUGCCGCGUGUAUGAUGAAGGUCUUAGGAUUGUAAAAUACUUUCACCGGGGAAGAUAAUGACGGUACCCGGAGAAGAAGCCCCGGCUAACUUCGUGCCAGCCGCCGCCGUAAAAC
rnacentral:rRNA from 1 species